ACGGAAGGUCCAGGCGUUAUCCGGAUUUAUUGGGUUUAAAGGGAGCGUAGGCCGGAGAUUAAGCGUGUUGUGAAAUGUAGACGCUCAACGUCUGCACUGCAGCGCGAACUGGUUUCCUUGAGUACGCACAAAGUGGGCGGAAUUCGUGGUGUAGCGGUGAAAUGCUUAGAUAUCACGAAGAACUCCGAUUGCGAAGGCAGCUCACUGGAGCGCAACUGACGCUGAAGCUCGAAAGUGCGGGUAUCGAACAG
rnacentral:rRNA from 1 species